AGUCCGUGAUGCGGGCAUUGCCUGAGCAUAUUAUUAAAUCUAUAUCAUGCUUCAAAUAAUGAUUCAGAGUCUAAUUGUCUAAAGCUUGCUAUCAUAUUUCUCAUAUG